UAGCCUAAGCACACCGGGUUUCCUACAAAAAAUGAUUUAAGGACAAAAUGGUUAGAAGCUAUCGGUGUGGAAAAUAUUAAUUCCAGGCAUAAAAGUUGGUAUGUCUGUUCACUUCACUUUGAAGCAAAUUGUUUCAAUAGAACACUUGAUGUGUUAAGAUUACGUGAUAACUCUGUUCCCACAUUACUUUUGCCACUCAAUAAUGGCCCCCAGGAGUCUUUGGUUUCACAUGAAAUAAACAACAUAAGAAAACAUGCUGGCACUGGCACAUCUACUGACCUAGACCCAUUGCUAUUAUCCCAUGAAAAUAUAAAUCAAACCGAAAGAAGAGAGAAGACACAGACUGUCCCUUAUAGAGAGUUUGUGAAAUUGACUGAAAAAGUCAAGGCGUUGAAAAAUAGAUGUCUCAUGCAGCGGAAAACAAUUAAACGUCUCCAUGAGAUGAUACGAAGGCGUAACAAAAAGAUAGCCAAGUUAGGAGAAGGAAGACAUCAACAGCCUAAUUUAUGCAAAACCAAGAAGAUGGCUGAAAGAAAAAGUAUAUAUAUUAUAUAUGUUUAAAAUGUGUGAAA
rnacentral:misc_RNA from 1 species